GGGUUGUGAGGUUAAGCGACUAAGCGUACACGGUGGAUGCCCUGGCAGUCAGAGGCGAUGAAGGACGUGCUAAUCUGCGAUAAGCGUCGGUAAGGUGAUAUGAACCGUUAUAACCGGCGAUUUCCGAAUGGGGAAACCCAGUGUGUUUCGACACACUAUCAUUAACUGAAUCCAUAGGUUAAUGAGGCGAACCGGGGGAACUGAAACAUCUAAGUACCCCGAGGAAAAGAAAUCAACCGAGAUUCCCCCAGUAGCGGCGAGCGAACGGGGAGGAGCCCAGAGCCUGAAUCAGUGUGUGUGUUAGUGGAAGCGUCUGGAAAGGCGCGCGAUACAGGGUGACAGCCCCGUACACAAAAAUGCACAUGCUGUGAGCUCGAUGAGUAGGGCGGGACACGUGGUAUCCUGUCUGAAUAUGGGGGACCAUCCUCCAAGGCUAAAUACUCCUGACUGACCGAUAGUGAACCAGUACCGUGAGGGAAAGGCGAAAAGAACCCCGGCGAGGGGAGUGAAAAAGAACCUGAAACCGUGUACGUACAAGCAGUGGGAGCACAGAGCAAUCUGUGUGACUGCGUACCUUUUGUAUAAUGGGUCAGCGACUUAUAUUCUGUAGCAAGGUUAACCGAAUAGGGGAGCCGAAGGGAAACCGAGUCUUAACUGGGCGUUAAGUUGCAGGGUAUAGACCCGAAACCCGGUGAUCUAGCCAUGGGCAGGUUGAAGGUUGGGUAACACUAACUGGAGGACCGAACCGACUAAUGUUGAAAAAUUAGCGGAUGACUUGUGGCUGGGGGUGAAAGGCCAAUCAAACCGGGAGAUAGCUGGUUCUCCCCGAAAGCUAUUUAGGUAGCGCCUCGUGAAUUCAUCUCCGGGGGUAGAGCACUGUUUCGGCAAGGGGUCAUCCCGACUUACCAACCCGAUGCAAACUGCGAAUACCGGAGAAUGUUAUCACGGGAGACACACGGCGGGUGCUAACGUCCGUCGUGAAGAGGGAAACAACCCAGACCGCCAGCUAAGGUCCCAAAGUCAUGGUUAAGUGGGAAACGAUGUGGGAAGGCCCAGACAGCCAGGAUGUUGGCUUAGAAGCAGCCAUCAUUUAAAGAAAGCGUAAUAGCUCACUGGUCGAGUCGGCCUGCGCGGAAGAUGUAACGGGGCUAAACCAUGCACCGAAGCUGCGGCAGCGACACUGUGUGUUGUUGGGUAGGGGAGCGUUCUGUAAGCCUGUGAAGGUGUGCUGUGAGGCAUGCUGGAGGUAUCAGAAGUGCGAAUGCUGACAUAAGUAACGAUAAAGCGGGUGAAAAGCCCGCUCGCCGGAAGACCAAGGGUUCCUGUCCAACGUUAAUCGGGGCAGGGUGAGUCGACCCCUAAGGCGAGGCCGAAAGGCGUAGUCGAUGGGAAACAGGUUAAUAUUCCUGUACUUGGUGUUACUGCGAAGGGGGGACGGAGAAGGCUAUGUUGGCCGGGCGACGGUUGUCCCGGUUUAAGCGUGUAGGCUGGUUUUCCAGGCAAAUCCGGAAAAUCAAGGCUGAGGCGUGAUGACGAGGCACUACGGUGCUGAAGCAACAAAUGCCCUGCUUCCAGGAAAAGCCUCUAAGCAUCAGGUAACAUCAAAUCGUACCCCAAACCGACACAGGUGGUCAGGUAGAGAAUACCAAGGCGCUUGAGAGAACUCGGGUGAAGGAACUAGGCAAAAUGGUGCCGUAACUUCGGGAGAAGGCACGCUGAUAUGUAGGUGAAGUCCCUCGCGGAUGGAGCUGAAAUCAGUCGAAGAUACCAGCUGGCUGCAACUGUUUAUUAAAAACACAGCACUGUGCAAACACGAAAGUGGACGUAUACGGUGUGACGCCUGCCCGGUGCCGGAAGGUUAAUUGAUGGGGUCAGCGCAAGCGAAGCUCUUGAUCGAAGCCCCGGUAAACGGCGGCCGUAACUAUAACGGUCCUAAGGUAGCGAAAUUCCUUGUCGGGUAAGUUCCGACCUGCACGAAUGGCGUAAUGAUGGCCAGGCUGUCUCCACCCGAGACUCAGUGAAAUUGAACUCGCUGUGAAGAUGCAGUGUACCCGCGGCAAGACGGAAAGACCCCGUGAACCUUUACUAUAGCUUGACACUGAACAUUGAGCCUUGAUGUGUAGGAUAGGUGGGAGGCUUUGAAGUGUGGACGCCAGUCUGCAUGGAGCCGACCUUGAAAUACCACCCUUUAAUGUUUGAUGUUCUAACGUGGACCCGUGAUCCGGGUUGCGGACAGUGUCUGGUGGGUAGUUUGACUGGGGCGGUCUCCUCCUAAAGAGUAACGGAGGAGCACGAAGGUUGGCUAAUCCUGGUCGGACAUCAGGAGGUUAGUGCAAUGGCAUAAGCCAGCUUGACUGCGAGCGUGACGGCGCGAGCAGGUGCGAAAGCAGGUCAUAGUGAUCCGGUGGUUCUGAAUGGAAGGGCCAUCGCUCAACGGAUAAAAGGUACUCCGGGGAUAACAGGCUGAUACCGCCCAAGAGUUCAUAUCGACGGCGGUGUUUGGCACCUCGAUGUCGGCUCAUCACAUCCUGGGGCUGAAGUAGGUCCCAAGGGUAUGGCUGUUCGCCAUUUAAAGUGGUACGCGAGCUGGGUUUAGAACGUCGUGAGACAGUUCGGUCCCUAUCUGCCGUGGGCGCUGGAGAACUGAGGGGGGCUGCUCCUAGUACGAGAGGACCGGAGUGGACGCAUCACUGGUGUUCGGGUUGUCAUGCCAAUGGCACUGCCCGGUAGCUAAAUGCGGAAGAGAUAAGUGCUGAAAGCAUCUAAGCACGAAACUUGCCCCGAGAUGAGUUCUCCCUGACCCUUUAAGGGUCCUGAAGGAACGUUGAAGACGACGACGUUGAUAGGCCGGGUGUGUAAGCGCAGCGAUGCGUUGAGCUAACCGGUACUAAUGAACCGUGAGGCUUAACCUUACAACGCCGAAGGUGUUU
rnacentral:rRNA from 1 species